rnacentral:lncRNA from 1 species
CCCUCUCUCUCUCUCUCUCUCUCUCUCUCUCUCUCUCUCUCUCUCUCUCUCUCACACACACACACACACACACACACACAAAUCACUCACUCCUCAUACUCCCCUCACAAGUUCUCUUUCUUUCUCUUCACUUCCUCAUCCCUCAAACUAAACAUUUAGCCAAAACUUCCCAUAACGUAAAUCUUUUUUUUUUUUGUGAAAGAUGUAAGAAGCUUUCUUUUUUUUUAGAGAUAGGUAACACGCUACCCGCUUCGUUUAUUUCAUUUAGAAAUAAACUUAGCUGGAAAUGUGAAUCAACUAGGAUUCGAACUUGGAAUUUCGGAUACCAACCAUCAAGUUCUUUGCCAUUUGCUUUAGGGACGCUCGGUAUAUAAGAAGCUUUCCAUGUUUGGUAGAAAGAGUU